AGCAGCAGCCGCGGGAAUACGAAGGAUCCGAGCGUUAUCCGGAAUUAUUGGGUUUAAAGGGUGCGUAGGCGGACAGAUAAGUCAGUGGUGAAAGACGGUGGCUCAACCAUCGCAGUGCCGUUGAUACUGUUUGUCUUGAAUAUGGAUGAGGUAGGCGGAAUGUGGCAAGUAGCGGUGAAAUGCAUAGAUAUGCCACAGAACACCGAUUGCGAAGGCAGCUUACCAAGGCAAUAUUGACGCUGAGGCACGAAAGCGUGGGGAUCGAACAGGAUUAGAUACCCCGGUAGUCCCUGUCUCUUAUAC
rnacentral:rRNA from 1 species